rnacentral:tRNA from 1 species
GGGAAUGUAGCUGAGACGGUUGUAGCACCAGCUUGAAGCUCUGGAGACGCAGGUUCGAAUCCUGCCAUUCCCA